rnacentral:rRNA from 1 species
UACGUAGGGUGCGAGCGUUGUCCGGAAUUAUUGGGCGUAAAGAGCUCGUAGGCGGUGUGUCGCGUCGGUCGUGAAAACUUGGGGCUUAACUCUGAGCUUGCGGUCGAUACGGGCAUCACUUGAGUUCGGCAGGGGAGACUGGAAUUCCUGGUGUAGCGGUGAAAUGCGCAGAUAUCAGGAGGAACACCGGUGGCGAAGGCGGGUCUCUGGGCCGAUACUGACGCUGAGGAGCGAAAGUGUGGGGAGCGAACAGG